ensembl:lncRNA
CUGAGAUCUAACUUCCCUGCUGUGAUCCCUGCCUUUCUACUAACAGGGAGCCCAGGCGCAGAGCUACUAAUGAGCAUGCUGGAGAGAGUGUCCAGCCCAGCUCCGGCUAGAGACAAUCCACCUGUCUGCUCUCCGACGCAGGUCAGCCUGAGCUGCAAUUUGGACUUUUCUGUGAGUUGGGAGAGACAGCCACAUCCCUGCUCUGAGCUACAGCAAAGGGCCAUGUGUGCACCAGGACUCUGUAACUCAUUUAAACUCUUAUGAGGAAAAGAAAGAAAAAACCCUGAAGCUCUAGAGACUUAGUACAUUGCUACAAGUUUGUAGGAGGUUUGCAAUCGAGCAGCUAUGAACAGCACUGCCUUGGUGUUUGCCACCUCGCAACACUGGUGAGACAGAAAAGCACAGAAGCAUUUGAGAGAAGUUUUUAAAGUUCUGGUGAAGACAGAUCAUUCCACCCCCCGGAUAAGAACUGCCACAAACACACAGAUGCAGCUCUGAGGAAUUUCUCCCAUUAUGGUAAGUUAGGGUAUUUUGUGCAACUUAUUGCAACACAUAUUUUUCCUUAUUUUAGAAUUACCAUUAUU